AAUAAGGAGUCUGGUGGCACCUUAAAGACUAACAGAUUUAUUUGGGCAUAAGCUUUUGUGGGUAAAAACCCACUUCUUCAGAUGCAUGGAGUGAAAAUUACAGAUGCAGGCAUUAUAUAAUAACACAUGAAGCGAAGGGAAGGGAGUACUUGUGGCACCUUAGAGACUAACAAAUUUAUU